rnacentral:rRNA from 1 species
ACUCCUACGGGAGGCAGCAGUGGGGAAUUUUGGACAAUGGGCGCAAGCCUGAUCCAGCAAUGCCGCGUGAGUGAAGAAGGCCUUCGGGUUGUAAAGCUCUUUCAGUCGAGAAGAAAAGAUUGUGACGAAUAAUCACAAUUCAUGACGGUAUCGACAGAAGAAGCACCGGCUAACUACGUGCCAGCAGCCGCGGUAAUACGUAGGGUGCAAGCGUUAAUCGGAAUUACUGGGCGUAAAGGGUGCGCAGGCGGCUUUGUAAGUCAGAUGUGAAAUCCCCGGGCUUAACCUGGGAAUUGCGUUUGAAACUACAAGGCUAGA